rnacentral:rRNA from 1 species
CCUACGGGAGGCAGCAGUGGGGGAUAUUGCACAAUGGGGGGAACCCUGAUGCAGCGACGCCGCGUGGGUGAAGGAGUGCUUCGGCAUGUAAAGCCCUAUCGGCAGGGAAGAAGCAAGACGGUACCUGACUAAGAAGCCCCGGCUAACGACGGGCCAGCAGCCGCGGUAAUACGGAGGGGGCGAGCGUUAACCGGAUUCACUGGGUGUAAAGGGAGCGUAGACGGCCAUGCAAGCCAGGGGUGAAAGCCCGGGGCCCAACCCCGGGACUGCCCUUGGAACUGCAUGGCGGGAGUGCGGGAGGGGCAGGCAGAAUUCCAGGUGUAGCGGUGAAAUGCGUAGAUAUCAGGAGGAACACCGGCGGCGAAGGCGGCCUGCUGGACCGCGACUGACGUUGAGGCGCGAAAGCGUGGGGAGCGAACAGGAUUAGAUACCCUAGUAGUC